AAUUAGCGUCACUAUGUGAGCCCGUUAUACCCAUAAGACAAGUGAUUCCUUUCAUUUCUACCCUUUUUAAAUGUUUCUUCUUUAGGGGGUAUGAGGGCACAAUACCUAUGACAACAGUUAUGCUUGCUGAUACCACCUCCGCAACUGAU